ensembl:lncRNA
AGUAUCGGGUGCUGUGUGAACCCACGUCCAGCUGUGAUCUGUGUGCUCAGUGUUAGGUGCUGUGUGAACCCACGUCCAGCUGUGGUCUGUGUUCUCAGUAUUAGUUGCUGUGUGAACCCACGUCCAGCUGUGGUCUGUGUACUCAGUAUUAGGUGCUGUGUGUGUGCGUUCAUGUUUUAUAACGCGUUUAUAGAAGUCGUUAGUAGAAACUGUGUGAUCACUGUUUUGCAAUUGUCUUAGUAAAACCAUCCAGCACUCAUCACACACAUACAGUAAACCACUUCUCCACUACUACCAUAAUGACCCAGUGGAGUAUAGAGUCAGUGUUAUCAGGGCUGUCUCUCCCCUCCCUCCCUCCCUCCCUCUCUCUCUCAAUGUAAAGAGUCUCUCAGCACUUUAAAGCUGCCAGUCGUUCAGACCAGAAGAGAGGUAGAGAGGGGAGGUAUAUGCACCACAGAGUGUGUUCACUAGACCAGAACAUGGGUUUGGGCCUGGGCCAGCACAGCUUACCCUUACUGCCUGAGAUCAGUCUUGCUCUUUAGCAGUAGCUAACCUCAAUAGACAGACAUCAGCUCUGCCCAUCUUCCAGCCCAGGCUGACUGAAAACCAAUCUCCCCAGGCUGUACCCCAGGCUGUACCCCCCCACUACUGAGGCACAGUUUUAGACUAUCGAGACACUCGCUAUCCUGUAAUCCUGUGUAAAGAGUGAGGUCAUGGCUUUAGACUAUUGAGACACCMCCCACCGCAGUGUUGUGUGAUGAGGUGUCUUAGUGGUUAGGGUGUUGGACUAGUAACCGAAAGGUUGCAAGAUCGAAUCCCAGAGCUGAUGAGGUAAAAAUAUGUCGUUCUGUCCCUGAACAAGGCCGUUUUAACCCACUGUUCCCCAGUAGGCCGUCAUUGAAAAUAAGAAUUUGUUCUUAACCGACUUGCCUAGUUAAAUAAAGGUUAAAUAUUGAAGGAUCUGAUGGUUGUGUGUGUUGCAGGAAAACUCAGCACACUUCCCUGGACCAGAGCUCUCCUCCUCAGACUGGUAUGGGUACCUACAACCACCCUGUCCUGGGCAUCUACAACGCUAGAGACGACUUCCCCCUCCGCAAGACAGCCUCUGAGCCCAACCUGAAGCUACGUUCUCGUUGAAGCAGAGGUGACGCGAGCGACGGAGCAGUCCCCUACUGAGGCGUAAAGACAGCCGAUCACAAACCGCCAAGAAACGCUCACUGGAUAUGGCAGUAGGACACACAGUCAACGCUGUGGAAGGGAACGGCCAGGAGGUUUCGUCCUCGCACACAACAGAGCUGUGUAGUGAUUUUAACAUGGAAGAGAUGACUAACUGACUGGUUGUAUUAGGUUCCUGUUGUAUGUAGCUGUAGACUUGGUGGAAACAGUCAUGACGGAGGUUAAGAUAUGAAUAUUUUCUCUAGAUUCCGCGUGUAACAGCGUCUGGGAUCCGGCCCCAGCUCUCCUAACAACAACAGCAUCAGCAACAUCCCCAAUGGAACCGGCGUCACUUCGCCAAAAGCAUUGGUGUGUCCUGGCUCAGGGUUGUGUGGUGGUUGA